CUCCCUCCCUCCCAGGGUACAACUAAAACUAAAGUAAAAUCAAGAAACUAGGAAAAGGACAUCGGAUCCAAAAGAGCUCAUUGACCUUAACGUUCCAAAGAAGCAACGCCCUCGGCCCGAAACAAUUACAGAUGUGACCUUCGUGGGACCAGGAACCCUCCUAGUCUUUCCCUCUCUCCCCAGGACACAACUUCGUUUCCCAAGAAGGCUCCGAGGAGAAGGCUUCGGGCGCAUCGACGCCGCAGGGCCGGCAGGGCCUCCCCAACGGGCGGCGAGGUUGUGGUGAGUCACAGGACAGGUGCCACCUGCGGAGGCUCUGGCCGAGCCAUUCGCGACCUCAGCCUGUGUGUCAGCUGCGGGGCUGGCCAAGGGCGCCGGUGUGGAGGCAGAUGCUCUUCUCUCUGUGAGAUGGUCCUUCUCUGAGCCCAGAAGGUGGCUUUGUGGUCGUGACCAUGAAUUACAGCAGCCGUGGGGGGAGGGGCGAGUUAUAGACGGUGCUCCUGAAAAGUGCAGCCAUCACUCAAACCGGCUCUGACACAGCCUUCCAAUCAAGAUUCCACUUCCGGGCCCUGGUGGAUUACGUUAAAAAAGAAAAAAAAAAAAAAAGAGUGCUGAGGUUCCAUUGAGGACCCUGUCACAUCCUCAUAAAUAAGCCUGGGCAUUGAAGGUGCCUGAAGAUCUACGCUCCUCACACGGAAGGCUUGUAAAUCAAGGCGCCAAUUAACAUCGAGAGGGUUGGUGUGUUUGCAACCUGGGCUCUUGCCUUCAUGGAGCCGAUGAGGAAUGAACACUACUUCAUAAUUCAGGGCAGAGGAAGAAAAGAGGUUUGUACAUCUUUGCUCUCUCUCUCUGCUUGGAUAUGUUUCUACCUCCACCGCCACAUGCAUCAAGAAAGGUGUGAGGAGAAAGGAUAUUGUUUCUACCAGAUACUUCAGAGCAAGCGGGCGAAGCUGAAAAUAGCAUCUGGAAAAAAACUGUGACAGAUUUGCCUUAAUGAAAGAUAUUUAAAGAUAAAAUGUCCUCAUCAGAUUUUUAUUCUACACCUAUUAAUUAAAGCAGAAGAACUUU